rnacentral:rRNA from 1 species
CCGUAGGUGACCUGCGGAAGGAUCAUUGUCGAAUCCUGCACAAGCAGAAUGACCAGAGAACUUGUGACGAACUCAAUGGGGGCGAUGGGUCUUCUUUUCCCAUCGUCCCUCGACGCCAGGAUCCCACGGGCGCCUGGAGCGUUCGGGGCAUUCUCGGCGGCACAACGAACCCCGGCGGAAUGCGCCAAGGAACUUGAACAAGAGAGCGAUGCUCUCACCACCCCAGACAUGGUGCGUGCGUGGGAUGCCAUGCAAUCUCCCAUUAUUCAUAACGACUCUCGGCAACGGAUAUCUCGGCUCUCGCAUCGAUGAAGAACGCAGCAAGGAUCAUUG